GUGCCACUGGAUCUUUGUGCUAUAUAUAAUCUUUUCAUUGUGACAACAGUACACACAACUAUAAACAAAAUCUACGACGAUCAACCACAUAUAUCCAACACUGCCUCAUUUCAGAGGGAUAUUAUUCUGCAAAAUCACCAAAAGCCAAAAUAAUAAACACCAUUCACAUGUAUCACAGACACAACAAGUACCAAACCAGAACCGCAUAC
rnacentral:lncRNA from 1 species